GACCGCCCCGAUGGCCUAGUGGUUAGUGCGUCUGCCUCGGAUUCUGGAGGUCGUGGGUUCGAUCCCCGGUGUAGUCA